GACGAACGCUGGCGGCGUGCUUAACACAUGCAAGUCGAACGGUGACCCUCGGAGCUUGCUUCGGGGUGAACAGUGGCGAACGGGUGAGUAACACGUGAGUAACCUGCCCCUGACUCUGGAAUAAGCGCUGGAAACGGCGUCUAAUACCGGAUACGACACGCCUCCGCAUGGGGAGCGUGUGGAAAGUUUUUCGGUCUGGGAUGGACUCACGGCCUAUCAGCUUGUUGGUGAGGUAAUGGCUAACCAAGGCGAUGACGGGUAGCCGGCAUGAGAGGGCGACCGGCCACACUGGGACUGAGACACGGCCCAGACUCCUACGGGAGGCAGCAGUGGGGAAUAUUGCACAAUGGGCGAAAGCCGGAUGCAGCGACGCCGCGUGAGGGAUGACGGCCUUCGGGUUGUAAACCUCUUUCAGCAGGGAAGAAGCGAAAGUGACGGUACCUGCAGAAGAAGCACCGGCUAACUACGUGCCAGCCGCCGCAGUAAAAC
rnacentral:rRNA from 1 species